AGUGAACGCUGGCGGUAGGCCUAACACGUGCAAGUCGAACGGCAGCACAGUAAGAGCUUGCUCUUACGGGUGGCGAGUGGCGGACGGGUGAGGAAUACAUCGGAAUCUACUUUUUCGUGGGGGAUAACGUAGGGAAACUUACGCUAAUACCGCAUACGACCUGCGGGUGAAAGCAGGGGAUCUUCGGACCUUGCGCGAUUGAAUGAGCCGAUGUCGGAUUAGCUAGUUGGCGGGGUAAAGGCCCACCAAGGCGACGAUCCGUAGCUGGUCUGAGAGGAUGAUCAGCCACACUGGAACUGAGACACGGUCCAGACUCCUACGGGAGGCAGCAGUGGGGAAUAUUGGACAAUGGGCGCAAGCCUGAUCCAGCCAUACCGCGUGGGUGAAGAAGGCCUUCGGGUUGUAAAGCCCUUUUGUUGGGAAAGAAAAGCAGCAGGUUAAUACCCCGCUGUUCUGACGGUACCCAAAGAAUAAGCACCGGCUAACUUCGUG
rnacentral:rRNA from 1 species